rnacentral:rRNA from 1 species
AUUGAACGCUGGCGGCAUGCCUUACACAUGCAAGUCGAACGGUAACAGGUCUUCGGAUGCUGACGAGUGGCGAACGGGUGAGUAAUACAUCGGAACGUGCCUAGUAGUGGGGGAUAACUACUCGAAAGAGUGGCUAAUACCGCAUGAGAUCUACGGAUGAAAGCAGGGGACCGCAAGACCUUGUGCUACUAGAGCGGCCGAUGGCAGAUUAGGUAGUUGGUGGGAUAAAAGCUUACCAAGCCGACGAUCUGUAGCUGGUCUGAGAGGACGAUCAGCCACACUGGGACUGAGACACGGCCCAGACUCCUACGGGAGGCAGCAGUGGGGAAUUUUGGACAAUGGGCGCAAGCCUGAUCCAGCAAUGCCGCGUGCAGGAUGAAGGCCUUCGGGUUGUAAACUGCUUUUGCACGGAACGAAAAGCCCUGGGUUAAUACCCUGGGGUCAUGACGGUACCGUAAGAAUAAGCACCGGCUAACUACGUGCCAGCAGCUGCCGUAAUAC